rnacentral:lncRNA from 1 species
CAGAUAACCUUACUUUCAGAUAACUUUACAGAUAAUGUUUACUUUCAGAUAACUUACUGGAAUAAGGCAGUUACAGCUGGGAGGUAUUGCCUGAUGGACAGAACAGCCAGGGCCUAGGGGAGGGGUGGCAGAGGCUCCAAGUGGCUGGCUCCCGAACAAUCAGGAGGCACCCCCCACUAGAGGAAGGGAGGGCCAAUGAGGAGGCUGGCCAAGUCGCCCCGGCCAUUCCUCCCUCAGGCGUCAUAGAAGACGGCCCUGUGAAUGUCUGAUCAGUACGCAGGCGUGCUGCAGGCCAUAGUCAAGUCGGUGGCCAGGGGGUGUGCGGAGCAGCUUUCCCAGCCCAGUCCUUCCAGUGUGGGAUUCCGGGCUUCCCCUCUGUGUGAUCGAAGUUCGGUUACCUCUGGCGGUGGCGACAAAUCAUGGCGGCCGCUGGGAGGAGCCUCGGAGAGAUCUGGAGGAGUGAUGGAGUUCCUGGGAAAGGCCACCAGGAAGAGUCCGAGUCCGGGAUGUCUUCAGGGCAGAAAAGGCCACGUUGACAGAAAUCAAGUGCGAGACGGAGCAGAAGGGACGGGAGAAAGGAGAAGCUGCUGCUGCUGUGGUUGCCCUCAUUUCGCAUUUUAAUUCAAGAAAGAGAAGUAAGGUGAUGAUUCAGCAAGAUUAACUGGCUCGGAACAGGAGAGAUUCCAUUUACCAAGGGCCACAGGAAAGCCCAAUUGGCAUAGAAUAUAUUAAGAAGACCUGAGUAUAACUGAAUCACUGAUAUUCAAGCAUUGUUGGUCCAUUCACAAGAUGAUAGAAGAGCUUCUUCACAAGACCUUGGACUGGACAUGUGCGUGAUUAUUCUGGGGGUAUUCUCAUGAUAUAAUGAGGGCAAAGAACACUGUGAUGGGACUUCUAGACAUGUUUGAGUGAUGUGGAAUGAAAGGCAAGGAAGGAACAAUGUCUACUAGCAAAAGAGAGGGACAUAUUUUUCUAAAUAUAAUGUACUGUAUUUCUAGGAGAAACUUGACUUUGACCUUUGUUUUGCUGAGCAAUCUUAUUUCCCAUAACCACUAGCUAGAGUUAUGUGAGGGAAAUCACCCAGACCUGUGAUUUCAUUAGCAAAGGUAAUUGGUGAAGAAAGUCCCUCUGCCAGUGCAGAUCAGCAAGUGUUCUGCAACUUAUAGUCUUGAAAAGUCCCUUAUGAUACUGAGAUGUUAAAUUACAUUCCUGAGCCAUGUAGCUAGUAUUUGAUAGAGGCAAAAUUAGAAUAUGGAUCUUUCUAACUCAAAGUCAGAUUCUCCAUCUGCCACUCCAGGAGGGUCUUGACUUUGUGUGUUCACGGGGAGGGGCUGAGAGGAAACCUUUUUGGUGGUCUCGAAGCCUAAGGACUUACUCAAAAUAACAUUUUUAUAUGAUUAAAAUUCAACAUAUAGGAUUCACAUUGUUUCCCCUCUCUUGCCCCCAUUCAAUAAACUCCAUUGUCUUCCUGUUAUGUUCUGUAAC